AGCGAACGCUGGCGGCAGGCCUAACACAUGCAAGUCGAACGGAUCCUUCGGGAUUAGUGGCGGACGGGUGAGUAACACGUUGGAACGUGCCCUUUGGUUCGGAACAACUCAGGGAAACUUGAGCUAAUACCGGUUGUGCCCUUCUGGGGAAGGAUUUAUCGCCAUUGGAGCGGCCCGCGUCUGAUUAGCUAGUUGGUGAGGUAACGGCCCACCAAGGCGACGAUCAGUAGCUGGUCUGAGAGGAUGAUCAGCCACACUGGGACUGAGACACGGCCCAGACUACUACGGGAGGCAGCAGUGGGGAAUCUUGCGCAAUGGGCGAAAGCCUGACGCAGCCAUGACGCGUGAAUGAUGAAGGUCUUAGGAUUGUAAAAUUCUUUCAGCGGGGACGAUAAUGACGGUACCCGCAGAAGAAGCUCCGGCUAACUUCGUG
rnacentral:rRNA from 1 species